AACAAUCCCUCCCUCUCCAUCUGAUAGGCAGUUGGAAGAGACUUUUAGAUGUCGUCCAGUCCACCUCCCCUGCAGUGAACAGGAUCAUCUACAGCUGGAUCAGGUUGACCCGGGCCUGAUCUUAGAGAUCUUCUAUGUUACAGACUCUGUGAUUGGUACAACUCUAAGACUCACGCUCCCCUCUGUGUCUCUCCAGAGGUAGUUCUUUAACACUACAUUUCCCCACCCCACCAAUCUGUCCUCUCUCCAGCAAGUAAGUGGAGCUACAUAGACGUAAAGGGUGGAUGGUAAAGCCAGAUGAGCUCCACCCUGUCAACCGUUUGCUGAACUGCAUCACCAUCCCAAAGUCCCCUCCUGUCCCAUUCUGCACAAGAGGGACAAAGAUCCAGACAGCCCUUGGCCUCUGUUUCCCCUCCUCCAGCUCUGUGUGAUGACAUCCUUGUGGUGCAGGGUGACACUCAAAGGCCACAAGUGCCUUCCCUUCAGGCAUGACCUCCUCCAGUCUGUUUUCUUUCUGUUUCAUCUGCUUUGCUCUGCCCCAGGCAGCCUUGCCCAAGACCUCAAGUCUGCCAGCUCACCCUACCCUCCUUCCUUCCACUACUGAGCUGUUCAGGCUAAGCCAAGCACUUCUGACAGAAGUGCUGUCACAGCUGAUAAACCGGAAGUACAGAGGAUGUGGAAGCCAAGUGAUGGGUGAAGUAGAUGACCACCUAGAGAUCUGCCUGGAUCAAUUAAAAUUCCAGGCACUCCUAGUGCAUCAGUUGUCCAAGGCUCUGGACAGUUGUUGGCCCUUCAGUCCCUCUGCACAAAUGUUGCCAGGACAAUGACAGAAAUGGAAACAGAGGGAGUAGGGGAAGAGCUCAGUGCAGCUCUUGGGACUUGAGGAAGGUGGGUGCUCACUUUGUGCUACGUUAUAGCUUCAUCCAGGGGCAUGGAGUGGGUAGGAAAGCUGACUUAGUUUGCAACACCUCUACAUUCAAAACACAAGCACUUGGCCCUGAAGUGCAGCAGCAGCAGCACUCAGUCACCAACUACAUGGCAUACCUCUGGCCAGAGGUAAUGCGCUGCGCUCCACUGCUCUUUACAGAGUGGUUUUCAGGUCACUAUCACCCGAAUCCAUCCCUGGUGUUCCCUCAGGGAUUCAGGGCCAGGAUCACUCCUGUGAGGAAAGCAUAAGAGCACUGAGUUGUAGAGAGAUUCCCGACUCCCUUCCCUGAGGGUCUUCAAAAGCCAGCAGCACACAGGCCUGGGAAACCUGCUCUGAUGGUCCUGCGGGAGAGUUCAGAACCAGAUCAUACAACCUUACAGCCAUUCAGUUGGGAAAAGACCAGGUACAAUUGUUAACCUACACAAACAUAGAAUCACAGAACCAUACCCUCACAGAACUGGAGAAUUAACGGAGUCAUUCAGAUUUGUAAACAGCUGUAAGACUCAUUCCAGCAUCACGUAACACAAGUCCACCACUAAACUGUCCCCACACACCUCAUCUACAUACCUCUUACACCCCUCCAGGCAUGACAACUUCAUUAAGCAAAACUCCCCCCACCACUGACCCCUAACCAUGUCUGCUUCUGUGCUGCUCGGUCAGCAGGAUGAGGCAGAAGUUUAGCUAGCAAUUCCUGGGCACAAAGGACACAAGGGAGAUGGAUAGGUGAGUACCUGGGGCCUGGGAGUGCUGCCCCAUGCCCUGCAGUGAACAAGUAACCCCUAGAAGGCAGGGUGAUCCCCCAUACCUGCAUGCAGCCUGCUAGCCCACUUCCCUCCUGCAUUCUGCAGUACUCCUUCCCCUUGGGCCAGUUUCUUCCCCUGUGCUGAGAUGGAGUUCAAGUUGUGGGUGACAGUGGCCACCAUCACUGAGUACAAGCACUCCUCCUGGGACUGCCACUUAACCAUCAGGGAUCCCCUCUAGGCAGACGGAGGCCAGACCACCUUCCAGCAUCCAUGCUGGGCUGAGGGCUGUUGAAACCACUCACCUCCUGCGUUUCCAGUGUCUCAUAGGUACCAUGAGUGGGUAGCUGACACAUCCCCAGUUAAAGUCCCUCUGACAAGCUCUGAUCAUUCACAGAGCAUGUCUAGCACUUCUGCGAUGCUUAUUCAGCCUUAGGUCAAUGAAAACCUGCUCCUGGAGAUGCCUAAUGCUGUAAGGCCAUUCUUUGCUGUGCAGAAGGACCCCAGCUUCUCCCCCCUUGGGCAUCAUUUUCCUUUCUGCCUCAUUCCUCUUCAUCCUUGUGCACUCCCUCCUCCUCUCCCACACCAUCAGGGCUGCAGGUACCACCCUUCGCCUUGACCUCAUUCCCAACAACCACAGACCAAAAAAGGUGAGCGUGACUGAUUCCCCGUGUCGUGGUUCCCACAAUGGUCACAUUCGUGCAGUCAAGGGACAAACGCUUCCUUAAAGAGCUUGGGUUUAAGUAGUGCAAGCAGUGCCAUUGGCAAAGAGGCUCCCAUGGGUAACCUUCGGACCCUCCUCCCCCAAUCUUCCUGUAGCUCUUCUUGCUUUGUCUCCCAUCAGAAUUACUCCUCAUGAGAUGGUUUUGCAGGCAGCGGACAUCUCAGGUCCUGCCAGCAGGAUACAUACCACUACACCAAUGAUCCCCUAUUGCCAUCUCACCGGAAGCAUUAGGAAAGGCAGUAGACUCAUUGAUUACUACCUACAAGAGAAGGGUGAGCUAUAAAGCCCCAGAAGGAACAAGCACCAGGCUUGUCACAGUGAAAGCCCUGCCUGUAGCUUGCUCAGGAAAGCCCAAAUACUACACAGUGCAAUACAGACGGUUCAGGUGUUCUGCAUCCCUACUGCACCAAGGCAGGUGCAAGAACUUCCGGGUCCACGCAAUACUGGCAUUACUCUUACACCUGCAUACCACAGCUGCUGUGGCCUUUCACCAACUCACAAAGGCCAAAAACAUGGCUGGAGGAAUGAAACAACGUCUUCCAGCAAGACAGAACUACCUUCUCAACAGGCCCAGGUGCUGGGUACACUCAAACCCACCCUUCCAGCUGAACUAGAAACACACGUAACUGAGAAUGGGUUUGGCUAGGGCCUGUGGCUGAGGCAGAACUCCAUUUAAACCCAGUUGUGUUCUGGUCUCAGUUCUGACAUGGAGCAGAAGAGAAGCGUAGCAUGAAAAAGUUACCUGGC
ensembl:lncRNA